rnacentral:lncRNA from 1 species
GUUGGUCGGUAUGGAUUCCAGUAUCAAUUCCAUGGAUCUUGCUGAUGUGUCUUAAAUUUACCGCAAGCGCACGGUGUGCAAUGUAGCACGUCCGAUGAGUACGGAUCGAUCUCACGAGGAAUUGGAUUUUAAACUGUAUUUAAAUGCUUGCUCAGACGAGCUUUAAAGGAAAAAAAGAGAAAUUGAUUGUUGAAUUACGAACGACCAAAAUAGUAAACUAAUCAAUUAUAAAUAUAAAUUAUCUCAAAGAUCUAGGGCUUUUGAAUCCACUAGACCAAUGAAUUUGAGAGCCUUCGUAUGAUUUCUCUUAUAAUGUCCCUUGAUUAAGGUGUAAAAUAUGA